rnacentral:tRNA from 3 species
GGGGAUGUAGCUCAGUUGGCUAGAGCGCUUGACUGGCAGUCAAGAGGUCGUCGGUUCGAAUCCGAUCUUCUCCACAA